CAAAUAAUUAAAGUUAAGAAAUUAUAAAUUCAUACAUAAUAAUCAUAGCGUGCGAUAAAAUCACCCGCUAGUAUUAGAUUACCUAAACACCGAGCACCGAGUCCAUAUUGGUGUCGGUAGCUAAAAAUAACAGACGAACGGUGCACGGUAGAAUUCCGUUUAAAACUUCAUGAAGAUUUACAUGUACCUAAUGAAACCACGUGCCGGAACAUUGUCGAAGCAAACGUAAUACCUAAUAAGUCACUUAUCCCGGCGGAGGCUAUUUAUGGUAUCGAAGGUGCAUUGCUCCUUUAAGACAGGGGUUAAACGAUAAAUACUUAACUUCAUAUAAGGCAUGAAUUUUUGAAUAUAGUUCAUAUGUCGUAGUAUUUUUA